rnacentral:rRNA from 1 species
GACGAACGCUGGCGGCGUGCUUAACACAUGCAAGUCGAACGCUGAAGCUCAGCUUUUGUUGGGUGGAUGAGUGGCGAACGGGUGAGUAACACGUGAGUAACCUGCCCCCUUCUUUGGGAUAACGCCCGGAAACGGGUGCUAAUACUGGAUAUUCACUGGUCUUCGCAUGGGGGUUGGUGGAAAGGGUUUUUCUGGUGGGGGAUGGGCUCGCGGCCUAUCAGCUUGUUGGUGGGGUGAUGGCCUACCAAGGCUUUGACGGGUAGCCGGCCUGAGAGGGUGACCGGUAACAUUGGGACGGAGAUACGGCCCAGAAUACUACGGGAGGCAGCAGUGGGGAAUAUGGCACAAUGGGCGCAAGCCUGAUGCAGCGACGCCGCGGGAGGGAUGGAGGCCUUAGGGUUGUGAACCUCUUUCGCUCAUGGUCAAGCCGCAACAAUGGUUGUGGUGAGGGUAGUGGGUAAAGAAGCGCCGGCUAACUACGUG